UACAGAGGGGGCAAGCGUUGUUCGGAAUUACUGGGCGUAAAGGGCGCGUAGGCGGCCUGUUAAGUCGAACGUGAAAUCCCCGGGCUCAACCCGGGAACUGCGUCCGAUACUGGCAGGCUUGAAUCCGGGAGAGGGAUGCGGAAUUCCAGGUGUAGCGGUGAAAUGCGUAGAUAUCAGGAGGAACACCUGUGGCGAAAGCGGCGCACUGGACCACAACUGACGCUGAGGCGCGAAAGCUAGGGGAGCAAACAGG
rnacentral:rRNA from 1 species